AUUUUCAACGAUGGAUAUCUAGGCUCCUAUACCGAUGAAGAACGCAGCGAAAUGCGAUACGCAAUGCGAAUUGCAGAACCGCGAGUCAUCAGAUCUUUGAACGCAAGUGGCGAUAGCUUUGGCUAUCAUGUUUGUUUCAGUGUAUCCGGUUAAUUACAUCAAAGAACUUAAUGUGAUUGAAGCAAUUCUCUCACCAAAUACGAGGUUACUUCAGUGUAACGCCUAACCGAAGCAGUCACUAAUCGGUGAUCAUCGUUUAGAGCUGAAUACUGUUCAACAGUAACCUAACAACCAUUUAUCCACUAAUGGUACCUGAAAUAAGCAAGAUUACCCGCUGAACUUAAGCAUAUCAGUAAGCGGAGGAAAAGAAAAUAACAAUGAUUACCUCAGUAGCGGCGAGUGAAGAGGUAAAAGCCCAAGAUGUUAAUCCAUAGCACAACUGUGGAAUUGUAAUCUAUAGUGUUUCUCAGAAGGUCAAGACUCGUCAUAAGUUCUUUGGAACAAGACACCAUAGAGGGUGAAAGUCCCGUCUUUGGAUGAGUCGAGAUGAUAUGAGAGAUUUCUAAGAGUCGUGUAGUUUGGGAAUGCUGCACUAAGUGGGAGAUAAACUUCUCCUAAGGCUAAAUAUAAGAUAGGAGACCGAUAGCAUACAAGUACUGCGAAGGAAAGAUGAAAAGAACUUUGAAAAGAGGGUUAAAAGACUUGAAAUCGUUGAAAAGGAAGCAGUAAAAGAGAAAUUAUAACCGGCGAAUUAACUCAUUAAUCUAAGCUUAGAGGUGGAGAGUACUUCAUAGGAUUCUUAUCUUAAAGUGAAAAUUAGUGAGAUUUCGCAGGUGAAAGGCAAAAUGGCUUUCUUUUGUAAUAGUAAGGUCAAACAUAUUGUGAAGCCAAAAAUUACAAAAGAGAGUGAGGGAUUAGCUAAUGAUUUUGCCAAAAUGGCUUUUACUGACCCGUCUUGAAACACGGACCAAGGAGUCUACCCAUUAUGCGAGUGUUAGGGUGGAAAAACCCAAACGCGUACCGAAAGGGAUGCAAGAUGUGAAGCGCAAGCUGCAACAUCAACCAAUCUUGAUUCUUUGAUGAAGGACUUGAGUAAGAGCAUAAUUGGUAGGACCCGAAAGAUGGUGAACUACGGUUGAGUAGGGUGAAGCCAGGGGAAACUCUGGUGGAGGCUCGAAGCGUUACUGACGUGCAAAUUGUUCGUCAAACUUGACUGUAGGGGCGAAAGACUAAUCGAACUAUCUAGUAGCUGGUUCCCUCUGAAAUUUCUCUCAGGAUAGCAGGAACAGUUUAUGCAGUUUUAUCAGGUAAAGCUAAUGAUUAGUGGACUCGGGGGUCUGAGACUCUCGACCAAUUCUCAAACUUUAAAUUGGUAAGAACUUCUAGUUAUCUUAAUUGAACUAGGAGAUGGAAUGCAUUGUUCUUAGUGGGCCAUUUUUGGUAAGCAGAACUGGCGAUGAGGGAUGAACCUAACGUCGAGAUAAGGUGCCCAAAUUCACGCUCAUCAGACACCAUAAAAGGUGUUGGUUAGUAUAAACAGCCGGACUGUGGCCAUGGAAGUCGGCAUCAGCUAAGGAGUGUGUAACAACUCACCAGCCGAAUUAACCAGCCCUGAAAAUUGAUGGCGCUAAGCGUGAUACCGAUACUCAACCAUUAAGGCAAAUAGAAGCUUUAAUGAGUAAGAGGGCGUGAAUACUGUGUCGAAGGCUUGGAUGUGAAUCUGGCUGGAACAGUAUUUAGUGCAGAUCUUGGUGGUAGUAGCAAAUAUUCAAAUGAGAACUUUGAAGACCGAAGUGGAGAAGGGUUCCAUGAGAACAGCAUUUGUUCAUGGGUUACUCGAUCCUAAGACAUAGGGAAAUUCCUUGUAAUAUAUGUGUUCUUACGAAUGCAUUGUCAAAAGGGAAUGAGGUUGAUAUUCCUCAAGCUGGAUGUGGUGGCUACGUGGUAACACGAACAAGCUCGGAAAUGCCGGUAUGUGCAACUGGAAGAGUUCUCUUUUCUUCUUAACAAUCUAUCUCCCUGAAUGGAUUAUCCAAAGCAAGGGAUAUAUGGUUGGCAGAGCAGUUCACCAUCGAAUUGUCAGUGAUGCUCAUAACGGCCCUUGAAAAUCUGAGUAAGGUUAUCCAAUCACACCAGGUCGUACCCAUAACCGCAUCAGGUCUCCAAGGUUAGCAGCCUCUGGUCGAUAGAAUAAUGUAGAUAAGGGAAUUCGGCAAAUUAGAUCCGUAACUUCGGGAAAAGGAUUGGCUCUGAGGAUUGGGUUAUAGUUGCUGUCAUUGAGAGGGGAACUAUGAAAGAGCUGCGCAAGUGGAUCUGGAUUGGUGAACCAGGAAAUGCCGGUUUACUUACACCAGCAACAAUCGACUCAGAACUGAAGCGGACAAGGGGAAUCCGACUGUUUAAUAAAAACAUAGCUUUGUGAUGGCCUGAAAAGGUGUUGACACAAAGUGAUUUCUGCCCAGUGCUUUGAAUGUGAAUAUGAAGUAAUUUGUAGAAGCUCAGGUAAACGGCGGGAGUAACUAUGACUCUCUUAAGGUAGCCAAAUGCCUCGUCAUCUAAUUAGUGACGCGCAUGAAUGGAUCAAUGAGAUUCCCACUGUCCCUAUCUACUAUCUAGCGAACCCACAGCCAAGGGAACGGGCUUGGAAUAAUCAGCGGGGAAAGAAGACCCUGUUGAGCUUGACUCUAGUCCGACUUUGUGAAAUGACUUUCGAGAUAUAGCCUAAGUGGGAGCUAACGCGCCGCUGUAAAACCACUGCUCGCUUAGCCAUUUUACUUACUCCGUGAAGAAGUGGCCAAUUUAUUGGUUCUUAGAUUUAAGCACUUAUUUUAUAGGUGUGAAUUUUGCGGAGGACAAGGUCAGGUGGGGAGUUUGACUGGGGCGGUACAUCUGUUAAACAAUAACGCAGGUGUCCUACGGUGAGCUCAAAGAGAACAGAAAUCUCUUGUAGACCAAAAGGGGAAAAGCUCACUUGAUUUUGAUUUUCAGUACUAAUACAAACCGCGAAAGCGUGGCCUAUCGAUCCUUUAACUUUACAAGUUUUAAGCUAGAGGUGUCAGAAAAGUUACCACAGGGAUAACUGGCUUGUGGCAGCCAAGCGCCCAUAGCGACGUUGCUUUUUGAUCCUUCGAUGUCGGCUCUUCCUAUCAUUGUGAAGCAUAAUUCACAACGUGUUGGAUUGUUCACCCGUUAAUAGGGAACGUGAGCUGGGUUUAGACCGUCGUGAGACA
rnacentral:rRNA from 1 species